CCUACGGGUGGCAGCAGUGAGGAAUAUUGGUCAAUGGACGCAGGGCUGAACCAGCCAAGUCGCGUGCGGGAUGACGGUCCUAUGGGUUGUAAACCUCUUUUGUCAGGGGGCAAAUGGCGCCACGUGUAGCGCUUUGCGAGUACCUGAAGAAAAAGCAUCGGCUAACUCCGUGCCAGCAGCCGCGGUAAUACGGAGGAUGCAAGCGUUAUCCGGAUUUAUUGGGUUUAAAGGGUGCGUAGGCGGUCCGGAAAGUCAGGGGUAAAAGCCCGGGGCUCAACCCCGGCGAGCCGUUGAUACUGUCGGGCUAGAGACGGCGUGAAGUACGCGGAAUGCGCGGUGUAGCGGUGAAAUGCAUAGAGAUCGCGCAGAACUCCGAUUGCGAAGGCAGCGUACCGGCGUCCGACUGACGAUGAGGCACGAAAGCGUGGGGAGCGAACAGGAUUAGAUACCCCGGUAGUC
rnacentral:rRNA from 1 species